rnacentral:sRNA from 12 species
UAAUAUUGCAGAUAGAAAUAUGCUGUAUAUCCGUGUAAGCGAGUUAACGCUUAAGCGACAUAAUGAUGUCGUCGCUCACGGAGCCGCCUAAUGGCGGUUUUUUAAUUU